GUUAUGGCUGUACGAGAUAACUUGUAAACUGGAAAAUCCGUAACUUGGUAGUUUGAGUGUUUCUUGAUACAUAUUUACCUCUAAAAUAUAGUGUCUUUGCUAAUGUGCUUAUUAUUUAGAUCAUCUACAAGAACAAAUAACUCAAGAUGAGAAAUGUAUGGAUGUUGUAUACUUGUCCUUGGCUGGUCUAAAACAGGUUCGUGACAUCUUGAAAGGAACUUUAACAUUUCAUGGCUCAACAAUCGAACAGGAUUCCGAAUUCAGUCACAUCGACACGGCUAUUACAUCUCUUACACCCAACACAAAAACCUCAAGUGAUAAUAAGCUACCGAACUCGUUACCAGUUCCUCUACUUGCGGACUACGGGCAUUUUCAAAAGCAGAAGGAAGAAUUUAUCCUAAUUGAAUCUAGUGAAGGGCAAAACGAUGACUGUGGUGCAAAUGAAAGGACGUCUGAUAACUUUAAACCUGAGAACGUCGAUGAUAUUUCUUCUGACCUUAUUGAUUAACCAAAUCACUUUCACAGAGAUUCAUCGAUGCCAAUUGUUACCAAUACUUUUGGCGAUUAUGGCUCAACAUAAGGCUUGCGUGAUGUAGUCCUGUAAAAAACAUCUGUAAUUUACUCUCUUCGCUUUCCAAACUUAGUAUAUUUUGCAUGCUUUCUGAUUUUCUGCACAACAAAAGCUUGUUCUCCAACAAACAAAUAUAUCUUGUGGCAAGCGAUCUUGCCUUUUUA